AUCGCUUCUCGGCCUUUUGGCUAAGAUCAAGUGUAGUAUCUGUUCUUAUCAGUUUAAUAUCUGAUACGCCCCGAUUCGGGGCAACGUGUUAAACGCAUUUUUAGAACAGGGAGCUGAAUAAGGGCUCGCUCCGUUCGCUGCCACGCAUCGACGAGCCCGGUAUUGCAGCGCCUCCGGAACGGUGCCCCUUUG
ensembl:snRNA U2 U2 spliceosomal RNA